CUCCACGCCACCAGGGAAACAGAUCGGGGUCACGGACGAGUCCGAGAACCUGAGCACAAGAGAACUGCGGUGCACGUACUGGGAGUACUGGACACAGUGCAUGUACAGCCAGCUUGCAGCCACUUUGCCACCACUUUAGGACAAUGUUUACAGUAGACUGAGCCACACUGACUGUGAGCAGUCAUUGUGCUGCUGCAUGGCUGAUGGCACUGUCCCUGCAGCUGUCAGGGACAACAAGAACCACUCAGCUACCUCAGCCAAGCCAAGACUGUGCUGAUGUUGUGACCUGAGACCAAGACACUAACCCAGGAUGGUGAUAUGAUGGUGUGAGAGUGGGUGGAUGAGCCCAUCCACCUUAAAUAUGGAUCAUAUAAAUAUCUGUAAUGCAACACAUGUUUUAUGCAACAUGAACAUAUUUCCCAGCUGUUUCAUGUUGUGUUUCCAAGAUUUCAGUUUACUGUAACUUUCAUUUGUAUUUCCUUCAGUCUGUUAAUCUUGGAGCUGUGAGCAGCUUCUUAUUACCAGGUGAGAAUAUGUAACAGUCUGUAGAUGUGAUGACACUAUGGAGCGGAUCUCCUGUCUAGUUCUGCACAGAAAGCUGAUGUCACUGCAGCUGCUAAUAUGUGCUGCAGCCAAGCCUACAUGAGAGGGCUGUGCUGUGGAACAGGGUGGUGCAGGUGGUGUUAUCUACAUUUGAACAUUAGACAACAGUCACAUGAAGACACUUGAUGUUGUUAGCUAAAGACCUACAAUAAGAGAAAGAGAGCAGCAGCACUAGUGCAGCAACAGCAGCUCAUGUUAUAAAAACACUGAUCAAUGAUUUGACUGUAGCUGCUCCAACUGUCUGUGUCAGUGAUGCUGUUGGAGAUGUUUCAGUAACACUGAGACUGAAAUGGUUUAACACUGGUUUCAUGUUCAGAGAGAUUUGACCUGCUGUUAAAUGUCACAUAUUUCUGAUAUAUGUAUAAUACAUAAUCAUGCUCUGUUACACACAUUCAUAUGUGACUGUUACUGUAUCAUAUUCAGUCCUCGUCUUACACUCAGGUGUUCAUCGCAGUCACAGACGUGUCUGUAGUUGUUGUUGUCAGUGUGUGUGUGUGUGUGACUUUUACUGCUACCUUUCAUUACAUAAUUACCAACAAGAAUAAACUGUUAAUUAGCACCAAAGAACAUCAGGGUGGCUAAAUAUACAUUAUAUGUGUGUUGUACAGUGUUGGGAAAGAAAUGACACCGACCUCUCCCACAGGGGAAUUGUAGAAAAGGGGAGGGGCCAAAGGGGUACCACAAAAUUUACAGGGUUGCACCAAAGAAGAAGAAGAAGAAUGAGGAGGGGCUCCAGCUGAUAAUAAACAUAAGUGCAGACUUGGAGGUCCUGAAAGUAUAAAAGGACCAGUUUGGGUCUGGUUCCGUUAAUAAACUACAUACUAAUGCUCACUAUUGUGUCGUUAUUAUAAAGUGCGACUAAAUCCUCCCUCUGGAUGGGAAGAGUCCAUGUGUCAGUAUUCAGACACCUGGCUUGGGUUUCUGCAGCUAAUGUGUCACCUGUGAGGACUCUGAGACAAACCCACAGCAUGCAGGUCAUUUCUACAUCUGUUGGUGUGUCCUCAGUUUCCCAGCAUGCCUUGGCUGUGCUCAUGGAAGUGAAUGAGAGGGAAGAUCUGUCCUGCUGCCCUGUCAGUACUCGGAUUUCAUACCUGGUGAUCUCAGAGGACAAAAGCAGCGUUACAGCGGCGCACAUCGAUGAGAGCUGAUGCUCUCAACACUUCAGACCUCCGCCUGUCUCUGAGAAAACCAACAA